ensembl:lncRNA
AUGAGGUGUUUAGUAGGAAGUGAAUGGGGGGCUGAUAGGAAGGCAUUAAAAGCCAUAUAUAGUGGGCUGAUUAGAUCUGUAUUUGAUUAUGGUUGUGUGGUGUAUGGAUCAGCAGCAGAUACAUCACUUAGAAAGUUGUUAUGUACAGGAGCUAUAAAAACUACACCAAUCGUAGCACUACAGGUAGAAUUGGGGGAAAUGUCUUUAGAAAUGAGAAGGAUACAGUUAUCACUGAGUUAUUGGGCUAAUUUACAAGGCCACAGUCAAGAGCAUCCUACACAAGACACUUUAAAGCCCUGUUGGGAAAAAGAGAGGAGAAAAACUAAAAGUUUCGGAUGGACAGUAUUACAGAAAGCAAUAGAAUUCAAAGUUAAUCAAUUAAUAGUUAGUCCAACUAUUGCGCUACCAGUAAUAAAACCAUGGUUACUCUCAGAUGCUACAGUAGAUUUUACAUUGUUAGAAAAGAAAAACAGGGACAAAGAAUGGAGUUCAUGUAAUGUGCAGAAAUAUAUUAAUGAUUACCACAGCUAUGUUCAGAUAUAUACAGACGCAUCAAAGAAUAUAGACAAUAGGAUAGGAGUCGCUUUUAUUGUUCCAGAGUUUCAGUUAGCAAUAAGGAAAAGGAUUAGUGAUGAGUUAUCGGUUUAUACAGGGGAAAUGAUUGCAAUAUUAUUAGCAAUACAGUGGAUAGAGGAGAUAAGACCUUUAAAAUCAGUUGUUUGUUCGGACUCAAGUUCGUCAUUGGCUAGCAUACAGUACAGUCAUUCGGAAAGUAGACCAGAUAUUUUAAUAGAAAUACAGCAAACAUUAUACAGAAUACAAAUGAUGGGACUUACAGUGAAUUUUUUAUGGGUACCUGCACAUAUUGGUAUCCAAGGAAAUGAAAUGGCAGAUAAGGCAGCAAAGGAAGCCAUUAAAAAUAAUGGAAUUAACUUAAGUGUUAGUAUAAGUAAGAAUGAAAUCAAGAGUAUUAUUAAGGAAAGGUUGAAGGUAAGGUGGCAAAAACAAUGGGAUAUGGAGAAGAAAGGUCGAUGGUUUUACAGAAUUCAAAGGAAAGUGGGAGAGAUGAGAAGUGCAGGAAAAAACAGGAGAGAUGAGAUAGUAAUAUCAAGGAUGAGAUUUGGACAUACAAGAUUAAAUGGUACACUUUAUAAAAUGGGUAAACAUGAUACAGGAAGGUGUACAUUUUGUGGGCAAGAAGAAACUGUGGAACAUGUUAUGAUAUACUGUCAGAAAUACGAGUUUGAAAGAAGGAUUUUAAUAGAAAAAUUAAGAAAAAUAAAAAUGCGAUUUAUACUAGGGGAUAUUUUACAAAAUAAAUCUGGAAAUGAAUGUUACAGUUUUAUUUUUCAGUAUCUUAGAAAAAAUAAUUUGUAUGAGAGGAUAUAA